rnacentral:rRNA from 1 species
AUACAUGAGCAAAAUCUCAACUUUAUUAGAAGAGACGCAUUUAUUAGAUAAAAAGCCAGUUCAUGCUUUUACAGUAUGAAAAUUGGUGAUUUAUAAUAACUUAGCAAAUCGCAAAGUGAAAACAGGCGAUAAAUCAUUCAAGUUUCUGACCUAUCAGCUUUCGACGGUAUGGUAUUGGCUUACCGUGGCAGUGACGGUUAACGGGGGAUUAGGGUUCGAUUCCGGAGAGGGAGCCUGAGAAACGGCUACCACAUCUAAGGAAGGCAGCAGGCGCGCAAAUUACCCAAUUCUAACAGUUUGAGAGAGGUAGUAACAAGAAAUAACAAUACAAGGCAGUUAAAAUGCUUUGUAAUUGGAAUGAUAGAAAUUUAAACCCUUUUUAAAGUAUCAAUUGGAGGGCAAGUCUGGUGCCAGCAGCCGCGGUAAUUCCAGCUCCAAUAGCGUAUAUUAAAAUUGUUGCAGUUAAAAAGCUCGUAGUUGAAGUUCUGCUGAAAGUAACCGGUCUGCUUUUAAUAAAAGUGGUAUCUUGGUAUGUAUUUAGCAAUGAUGUCCUUUGAAGUGUUUUUUACUUUAUUGUAAUAAAGCAUAUUCAGGACUUUUACUUUGAGAAAAUUAGAGUGUUUCUAGCAGGCCGACGCUUUGAAUACUGCAGCAUGGAAUAAUAAG